rnacentral:rRNA from 1 species
AUGAACGCUGGCGGCGUGCCUAAUACAUGCAAGUCGAGCGAACGGACGAGAAGCUUGCUUCUCUGAUGUUAGCGGCGGACGGGUGAGUAACACGUGGAUAACCUACCUAUAAGACUGGGAUAACUUCGGGAAACCGGAGCUAAUACCGGAUAAUAUUUUGAACCGCAUGGUUCAAAAGUGAAAGACGGUCUUGCUGUCACUUAUAGAUGGAUCCGCGCUGCAUUAGCUAGUUGGUAAGGUAACGGCUUACCAAGGCAACGAUGCAUAGCCGACCUGAGAGGGUGAUCGGCCACACUGAAACUGAGACACGGUCCAGACUCCUACGGGAGGCAGCAGUAGGGAAUCUUCCGAAAGGGGCGAAAGCCUGACGGAGCAACGCCGCGUGAGUGAUGAAGGUCUUCGGAUCGUAAAACUCUGUUAUUAGGGAAGAACAUAUGUGUAAGUAACUGUGCACAUCUUGACGGGACCUAAUCAGAAAGCCACGGCUAACUACG